rnacentral:rRNA from 1 species
GACGAACGCUGGCGGCGUGCUUAACACAUGCAAGUCGAACGAUCGGCCCGGAACUUUGCCUGGGGGAUUAUUGGCGAGCGGGUGAGUGUCACGUGAGUAACCUGCCCUUGACUCUGGGAUAAACGUUGGGAACGACGUCUAAUACCGGGUAGGACCUUGGAACGCAUGAUCUGGAAUGGAAAAUUUUGUCGGGCUGGGAUGGACUCGCGGCCUGUCAGCUUGUUAGUAAGGUAAUGGUGCACCAAGGUGUCGAAGGGUAGCCGGCCUGAGAGGGUGCUGGGACACACUGCAGCCGCGUAAGGGAGCAGACUCCUGCGGGAGGUAGCAGUUGGGCAUAAUCCAGAAGGAGCGAAAGCGCGAUGCAGCAAAGGCGCGUGCGGGAGGACAGCCCUCUUGUUGGAAACCGCCAUUAGUAGGGAAGAAUGGCCUCGGCUUGACGGUACCUGAAGAAAAAGCACCGGCUAACUACGUG